AUUUAUGUAGUUUAAAAUAAAACAUUACAUUUUCACUGUAAAAAUAUUAUUAUUAAUAAUCAUAAAAU
rnacentral:tRNA from 1 species